UUAGAGUGGAGGGCCGUGUGUGAGGGAAGGAGGAGUCCAGGAGGAGGAAGGAGGAGGCCGGGAGGAGGAGGAGCAAGGAGAAGAAGGCGCUGUUCGCGGGAGGAAGAGGACGCCGCCCGAAGCCGUCGCCGCCGGAGGAGCCGCUGAAGCCGCCGUCACCGCCGGACCUCGUCGCCGCACCGCCGUCGUCUUCAUCUCCGACAAGAAAGCCUUGUGAGCCUGCUCUGCCGCCCUUUCCUUUUCCGCCUAUAGCCUAGGCCUAGCUUAGUUGUAGACGUUGGCCAACCGUAGAGAACCGCGCUGCCUGUGUUGUUGCCAUCGUCCUGCUCGCCGCGCGCGUCAACACGCUGCUCGCUUGCGCCUUGUUCACGCGCUGCGCCGCGCCGCACCUUGGCCUCGCCUGCUCGCUCGCGCUCUACCGCUCGCGCCGCGCGCACGCGCCCUUCGCCUCGCGCCGCACCGAGCCUUGGCAUCACACUGCCAGCACGCGCACUGCGCCCGUCGCCCGCGCGCUCGCCUUCGCCGCGCCGUUCGCGGUCACCGCCUGCCAGCAGCUCGCCAUUCGCGCCCAUACCACGCCUCAGCGCGCCGCCGCUAGUCACGUGGCCGCCACGUAGGCGCCACGUGGCAGGUGAGGGCCCACCGUUAACCAAGUGGGGCCCAUCGUUGACCUUGACAAGUCAACGCUGACGUAGUGUUGAUGUCAGCAAGCAUGACGACCGCCCAAGAACUGCCACGUGUCAAACCCUAAUAAAUCAGCCUUUUUGGAAUUAAAUAAAUGAUUAAUAAAUCCUUUAAACUUUAAAAAUUCGUAGCUAAUUCAUCUUAACUCAGAAAAAAUAUGAAACCAGUUGCAAUAAGUUUGUAAAAUCGAACCCGUGCUAUUUGUAGCUAGUUUGGAGUUAUUUGGAUCUUCUAUCUUGUUCUUCUUGAUAUUUUUGCAUUAGAUGUAUUGCUCGUUGUUUAUUUUCGCGUUGUUUGUUGUAGACCCGUUUGAAGACCCGAGCUGCGACAAUCAAGAAGACCUUUCGACCUCGACUUCAAUGGCAAGGACUUCGGCAAACAAAUAUAACGUGUCAUGUCACUCCCAAACAUAUAGAUCCUAUGCAUGCUUAGUUGCUAGCGUUGUAUUUAUGAUGCUUGCUUGAUGAUGGAUUGCAUAGCCAAUGUUUUAGCCAAGCCUUGAUAAUUAUUAUACUUGUUUCCUUGCUUUUGUGGACAAGCUAUAGACCCUAGCUAGUCCACCAUUAUUUCAUCCAUAUA
rnacentral:lncRNA from 1 species